UACAGAGGUCUCAAGCGUUGUUCGGAUUCAUUGGGCGUAAAGGGUGCGUAGGUGGCAUGGUAAGUCGGAUGUGAAAUCCCGGGGCUCAACCCCGGAACUGCAUUCGAUACUGCUGCGCUAGAGUACUGGGGAGGAGAUUGGAAUUUACGGUGUAGCAGUGAAAUGCGUAGAUAUCGUAAGGGAAGACCAGUGGCGAAGGCGGAUCUCUGGACAGUUACUGACACUGAGGCACGAAGGCCAGGGGAGCAAACGGG
rnacentral:rRNA from 1 species